ACCUGCAGAUACAUCCGUUUCACAAAAACUGGAAUGAAAAAAACUAAGUGACGGGGACCGUUGAACUGACCCAGUGUAACUCAAUGGAGCAGCAUGUCCUUGGACUUGGUGGCAGUGAACAGGCAGCCAGGAGGCAGAGCCGAAAAACACACCUCAGCGGAGAGAAGUGGGGAAGGAGAGUUUCAACAAAAACAGCAGGACAUUUCUCAGCUUGAAGAAUACUCCCUCAAGAGACCGUCACAACCCUUUUCUGCUUCUGAGGGAGAAAGAUACCUAAAACAUUCACCAUGCUCAGGAACAGCCUCAGGGCUCAUUCGGAUAGACACAUUCUUCCCCUCUUUAUGAGUGCAACAUCCAGUGAGGACUUGCAUGUGUGACUGAGCCACCAUUUAAGACAACAGGAAGAACACCAAUAUCAACUUGACAACAUCACCACCUCAAAGGCAGUGCUUCCAGGAGGUUGCACACAUGCGGCUGCAACCAGUCAUCGAGCAUGCAGCAAACAUGCGUAGAAGAUACAUCAGAAAAUGCUUAAGUGCAAGUGGACCACCAAGUCCUGAUGACUGACAGCAAACUGACUCCUUUGAACCACAUUUGUGUGGGAGGGGGAUGUGCAAGGCCUAUCUGUGGGGUUAAAUCUGGGAUGGCUCACUAAUACCUGCAGGUCACCACUGGCUGCCCAUCAACUGAUGGACAUCAUGUGAGAGGCAUGUGUAAAUCAGCCCAUGAUGUUAUAUCUAUACAAAAACGAGAAAAACCCUUGUGCACCAUCA